rnacentral:rRNA from 1 species
GAUGAACGCUGACAGAAUGCUUAACACAUGCAAGUCUUUGGCGAAGCUGUGCUUGCACAGCCUAGCCAAGGCGGACGGGUGAGUAACGCGUAAGGAACUUGCCCUGCAGUCAGGGAUAACAGACGGAAACGACUGAUAAGACCUGGUAAAGUCAGGCGGACUCAUGUCCAGCCUGAUGAAAAGAGAUGCUGCAGGAGAGCCUUGCGUCCUAUUAGCUUGUUGGUGGGGUAACGGCCCACCAAGGCGAUGAUAGGUAGCCGGCCUGAGAGGGUGGACGGCCACAAGGGGACUGAGAUACGGGCCUUACUCCUACGGGAGGCAGAAGUGGGGAAUAUUGGACAAUGGGGGCAACCCUGAUCCAGCAAUUCUGUGUGCACGAUGAAGGUUUUCGGAUUGUAAAGUGCUUUCAGCAGGGAAGAAAAAAUGACGGUACCUGCAGAAGAAGCGACGGCUAAAUACGUG